rnacentral:rRNA from 1 species
UAGGGAAUCUUCCGCAAUGGGCGAAAGCUUGACGGAGCAACGCCGCGUGAGUGAUGAAGGUCUUCGGAUCGUAAAACUCUGUUAUUAGGGAAGAACAAAUGUGUAAGUAACUAUGCACGUCUUGACGGUACCUAAUCAGAAAGCCACGGCUAACUACGUGCCAGCAGCCGCGGUAAUACGUAGGUGGCAAGCGUUAUCCGGAAUUAUUGGGCGUAAAGUGCGCGUAGGCGGUUUUUUAAGUCUGAUGUGAAAGCCCACGGCUCAACCGUGGAGGGUCAUUGGAAACUGGAAAACUUGAGUGCAGAAGAGGAAAGUGGAAUUCCAUGUGUAGCGGUGAAAUGCGCAGAGAUAUGGAGGAACACCAGUGGCGAAGGCGACUUUCUGGUCUGUAACUGACGCUGAUGUGCGAAAGCGUGGGGAUCAAACAGG